rnacentral:tRNA from 1 species
ACAUCAGUAGUUUAGUGGUAAAAUCCAUCGUCGAAGGUCGAUGAGUCCCGCGUCCGAUUCGCGGCUGAUGCA